AACGCACAUUGCGCCCGCCAGUACUCUGGCGGGCAUGCCUGUCCGAGCGUCAUUUCAACCCUCGAGCCCCUCCGGGGGGUCGGCGUUGGGGAUCGGCCCUUUCACGGGGGCCGGCCCCGAAAUGCAGUGGCGGUCUCGCCGCAGCCUCCCCUGCGCAGUAGUUUGCACACUCGCACCGGGAGCGCGGCGCGUCCACGGCCGUUAAACACCCCAAACUUCUGGAAUGUUGACCUCGGAUCAGGUAGGAAUACCCGCUGAACUUAA
rnacentral:misc_RNA from 1 species